CACGUAGGGCGCAAGCGUUGUCCGGAAUUAUUGGGCGUAAAGAGCUCGUAGGCGGUUUGUCGCGUCUGCUGUGAAAACGCGGGGCUCAACUCCGCGCCUGCAGUGGGUACGGGCAGACUAGAGUGCAGUAGGGGAGACUGGAAUUCCUGGUGUAGCGGUGGAAUGCGCAGAUAUCAGGAGGAACACCGGUGGCGAAGGCGGGUCUCUGGGCUGUAACUGACGCUGAGGAGCGAAAGCGCGGGGAGCGAACGGG
rnacentral:rRNA from 1 species